rnacentral:rRNA from 1 species
UUUUUUUUUCUUUCUCCCCCGCUUGAAACUAGCAUAUCAAUAAGCGGAGGAAAAGAAACUAACAAGGAUUCCCCUAGUAACUGCGAGUGAAGCGGGAAAAGCUCAAAUUUAAAAUCUGGCGGUCUCUGGCCGUCCGAGUUGUAGUCUGGAGAAGUGCUUUCCGCGCUGGACCGUGUAUAAGUCUCUUGGAACAGAGCGUCAUAGAGGGUGAGAAUCCCGUCUUUGACACGGACCACCAGUGCUUUGCGAUGCGCUCUCAAAGAGUCGAGUUGUUUGGGAAUGCAGCUCAAAAUGGGUGGUGAAUUCCAUCUAAAGCUAAAUAUUGGCGAGAGACCGAUAGCGAACAAGUACCGUGAGGGAAAGAUGAAAAGCACUUUGGAAAGAGAGUUAAACAGUACGUGAAAUUGCUGAAAGGGAAACGCUUGAAGUCAGUCGCGUUGUCCAGAACUCAGCCUUGCUCUCGCUUGGUGCAUUUUCUGGAUGACGGGCCAGCAUCGAUUUUGAUCGUCGGAAAAGGGUUGGGGUAAUGUGGCACCUCCGGGUGUGUUAUAGACUCCAGUCGCAUACGACGGUCGGGAUCGAGGUUCGCAGCGCGCCGCAAGGCAGGGGUUCGCCCACUUUCGCGCUUAGGAUGCUGGCAUAAUGGCUUUAAACGACCCGUCUUGAAACACGGACCAAGGAGUCUAACAUACCUGCGAGUGUUUGGGUGGAAAACCCGAGCGCGUAAUGAAAGUGAAAGUUGGGACCUCUGUCGUGGAGGGCACCGACGCCCGGACCUGACGUUCUCUGACGGAUCCGCGGUAGAGCAUGCAUGUUGGGACCCGAAAGAUGGUGAACUAUGCCUGAAUAGGGUGAAGCCAGAGGAAACUCUGGUGGAGGCUCGUAGCGAUUCUGACGUGCAAAUCGAUCGUCAAAUUUGGGUAUAGGGGCGAAAGACUAAUCGAACCAUCUUAUUUCUG